rnacentral:lncRNA from 1 species
CGCAAGUGAGGUAAUAUUCACACAAACCAUGUAAUACAUAAGGGACAGAGUUACAUAGUUGGCUUACAAUCGCCACUUCACACAAUACAUGAAUAAAGCAUUACAUCAUUCAAAUACAAUCAAGGUCCGGCUACGGAACCAAAAUGAAAGAAGACUACCCCAAAUGCUACACAAAUCCCCGAUCGUCCCGACUGGGCUCCACUACUGAUCAACUAGAACGAAAUAACACAAAGGACAAGAUCUUCAUCGAGCUCCUCCUUGAGCUUGGUUGCGUCACCUGCUCGGUAACAUCAGCACCUGCAAACUGGUUUUGGAAGUAUAUGUGAGUCACGAGGACUCAGCAAUCUCACACCCUCGCGAUCAAGACUAUUUAAGCUUAUAGGGAGGGUAAAAGGUAUGAGGUGGAGCUGCAGCAAGCGACUAGCAUAUAUGGUAGCUAACCUAUUCGCAAAAAAACAGCGAGAAGAGAAGGCAAAGCAUGGUCGAACAACUAUGAUCAAGAAGUGAUCCUAGAACAACCUACGUCAAGCAUAACUCCAACACCGUGUUCACUUCCCGGACCCCGCCGAGAAGAGACCAUCACGGUAACACACGCGGUUGAUGUAUUUUAAUUAAGGUCAACUUCAGGUUUUCUACAACCGGACAUUAACAAAUUCCCAUCUGCCCAUAACCGCGGGCACGGCUUUCGAAAGUUCAAAUCCCUACAGGGGUGUCCCAACUUAGCCCAUCACAAGCUCUCACGGUCAACGAAGAUAUUCCUUCUAGCGGGAAGACCUGAUCAGACUCGGAAUCCCGGUUACAAGACAUCCUCGACAAUGGUAACACAAGUCCAGCAAAGCCGCCCGAUGCACCAACAUCCUGAUGGGAGCUACACAUAUCUCGUUCUCAGGGCAACACCGGAUAGGUCAAGCUACGAGUAAAACCAGCCCUCAAGUUUCCCCGAGGUGGCCUCGUAGGCUGCCCAUUUCGGACCAACACUUAGACAAGCACUGGCCCAAGGGGGUUAAAAUAAAGAUGACCCUUGGGCUGGCCUAACCCAAGGGGAAAAAAGGCUAGGUGGCGAAUGGUAAAACCAAGGUUGGGCCUUGCUGGAGGAGUUUUAUUCAAAGCGAACUGUUAAGGGGUUCCCAUUAUAACCCAACCGCGUGAGGAACGCAAAAUCCGGGAACAUAACACCGAUAUGACGGAAACUAGGGCGGCAAGAGUGGAACAAAACACCAGGCAUAAGGCCGAGUCUUUCACCCUUUACCAAGUAUAUAGAUGCAUUAAUUAAAUAAAAGAUAUUGUAAUAUCCCAACAAGUAAACAUGUUCCAACAAGGAACAACAUCUUCAUGUUCCAACAAAGAACAAACUUCAAUCUUCACCUGCAACUAACAACGCUAUAAGAGGGGCUGAGCAAAGCGGUAACAUAGCCAAACAACGGUUUGCUAGGACAAGGUGGGUUAAAGGCUUGGUUCAACAAUAUGGGAGGCAUGAUAAGCAAGUGGUAGGUAUCGCAGAAUAGGCAUAGCAAAAGAGCGAGCAUCUAGCAAGCAAAGAUAGAAGUGAUUUCGAGAGUAUGAUCAUCUUGCCUGAAAUCCCGCAAGGAAGAAGAACGAGUCCAUGAAGAAAACAAACGGACGUAGUCGAACGAAUCCUCACAACACGACGUUAUUGGAACCAACCCGAAGAAGCAACACCGGAAAGAAGCAAACAAUCAUGGUAAACAACCAUCACAUAAUCAUGUCAUGAUGCACAAUCAAGUAUGAUGCAUGUCCGGUUUAAUGAAACAUGGCAUGGCAAAGUGCACAAGCAACCCUACAAAUUAAGUGGAGCUCAAUAAGCAACAAGUUGCAUAUUGACGAAACACCACAACAAGUUAUUUAGUUCGAUCUCGUUAUGUACCCAACAAUAUUAAAUGUUGAUUAACAUGGCAAGGGGUGAAGCAAAUGAAAACUACCUAUCUAGGCAAAUUUAAAUGAGGCCGGAACAACAAGCAACACUUCCGAAAAAUCCUCAUAUGCAUUUAUUAGGUUUGGUCAUGUUCUGCCCUAAACACAAUUUUAGAGUUGUUAAACAUGCAAAGUAAAGCCAUCAUAUUAAACUAGGCAUUUUUCUACCCCAUUUACAUAUAAAGUUUAUUAAAUUCCGAGUUACGGUUAUUUAGUUAUGAAUAAAAGCAUUUUAACUUGGCAUAGGAG